rnacentral:rRNA from 1 species
UGAGGAAUAUUGGUCAAUGGGCGAGAGCCUGAACCAGCCAAGUAGCGUGCAGGAUGACGGCCCUAUGGGUUGUAAACUGCUUUUAUGUGGGGAUAAAGUGCGUGACGUGUCAUGCAUUGCAGGUACCACAUGAAUAAGGACCGGCUAAUUCCGUGCCAGCAGCCGCGGUAAUACGGAAGGUCCGGGCGUCAUCCGGAUUUAUUGGGUUUAAAGGGAGCGUAGGCUGUCUAUUAAGCGUGUUGUGAAAUUUACCGGCUCAACCGGUGGCUUGCAGCGCGAACUGGUCGACUUGAGUAUGCAGGAAGUAGGCGGAAUUCAUGGUGUAGCGGGGAAAUGCUUAGAUAUCAUGACGAACUCCGAUUGCGCAGGCAGCUUACUGUAGCAUAACUGACGCUGAUGCUCGAAAGUGCGGGUAUCAAACAGG